rnacentral:rRNA from 1 species
ACGGCUGCUCAGUACCACGUAGUCAACCUAACCUAUGGACGGGAAUAACCUCGGGAAACUGAGAAUAAUGCCCGAUAGAACACUAUACCUGGAAUGGUUUGUGUUCCAAAUGAUUUAUCGCCGUAGGAUGGGACUGCGGCCUAUCAGUUUGUUGGUGAGGUAAUGGCCCACCAAGACUAUUACAGGUACGGGCUCUGAGAGGAGUAGCCCGGAGAUGGGUACUGAGACACGGACCCAGGCCCUAUGGGGCGCAGCAGGCGAGAAAACUUUGCAAUGUGCGAAAGCACGACAAGGUUAAUCCGAGUGGUUUCUGCUAAAGGAACCUUUUGUUAGUCCUAGAAACACUAACGAAUAAGGGGUGGGCAAGUUCUGGUGUCAGCCGCCGCGGUAAAACCAGCACCUCAAGUGGUCAGGAUGAUUAUUGGGCCUAAAGCAUCCGUAGCCGGCUCUGUAAGUUUUCGGUUAAAUCUGUACGCUCAACGUACAGGCUGCCGGGAAUACUGCAGAGCUAGGGAGUGGGAGAGGUAGACGGUACUCGGGAGGAAGUGGUAAAAUGCUUUGAUCUCUCGAUGACCACCCGUGGCGAAGGCGGUCUACCAGAACACGUCCGACGGUGAGGGAUGAAAGCUGGGGGAGCAAACCGGAUUAGAUACCCGGGUAGUCCCAGCUGUAAACUAUGCAAACUCAGUGAUGCAUUGGCUUGUGGCCAAUGCAGUAUUGCAGGGAAGCCGUUAAGUUUGCCGCCUGGGAAGUACGUACGCAAGUAUGAAACUUAAAGGAAUUGGCGGGGGAGCAG